GGUGAAAUGACUGAUUAAAGGUAAUAAACUGUAAAUUUAUUUAUGAGAAAUUUUCUCUUUCACCA
rnacentral:tRNA from 2 species